GAUUGAAUCUUUUUUUUUAGUUAAUUUCAUGACUUUUUCGUUGGCUUAAUGGGUGUGAAUGGGUUUUUGUUGGUUUGCAAUAAAUUUGUUUGUGUGGUCAUCAUGAAGCAGGUUCUUUUAAUCCUCCUUCCAGUUUGAUUAAUUUUGAAUGCUAUGUAUAUUGCGGGACUUGCAAUGGUCGGCUUCAUAGUGAAAAGAACUAGGAUUGUUAUAAUCAGAACUUUAA
rnacentral:misc_RNA from 1 species